UACGUAGGGGGCAAGCGUUGUCCGGAUUUAUUGGGCGUAAAGAGCGUGUAGGCGGCUUUACAGGUCCGUUGUGAAAACUCGAGGCUCAACCUCGAGACGCCGGUGGAAACCGUAAAGCUAGAGUCCGGAAGAGGAGAGUGGAAUUCCUGGUGUAGCGGUGAAAUGCGCAGAUAUCAGGAGGAACACCGGUGGCGAAGGCGGCAUCCUGGACCGACAUUGACGCUGAGGCGCGAAAGCCAGGGGAGCAAACGGG
rnacentral:rRNA from 1 species